GAUGAACGCUAGCGGCAGGCUUAACACAUGCAAGUCGAGGGGUAUAGUUCUUCGGAAUUAGAGACCGGCGCACGGGUGCGUAACGCGUAUGCAAUCUACCUUUCACAGAGGGAUAGCCCCAGAGAAAUUUGGAUUAAUACCUCAUAGUAUAGCAGUUUCGCAUGAAACCACUAUUAAAGUCACAACGGUGAAAGAUGAGCAUGCGUCCCAUUAGCUAGUUGGUAAGGUAACGGCUUACCAAGGCAACGAUAGGGGUAGGGUACCGUGAGAGGGAGAUCCCCCACACUGGUACUGAGACACGGACCAGACUCCUACGGGAGGCAGCAGUGAGGAAG
rnacentral:rRNA from 1 species